UAGGGAAUCUUCCGCAAUGGGCGAAAGCCUGACGGAGCAACGCCGCGUGAGUGAAGAAGGAUUUCGGUUCGUAAAGCUCUGUUGUUAGGGAAGAAUGAUUAUGUAGUAACUAUACAUAGUAGAGACGGUACCUAACCAGAAAGCCACGGCUAACUACGUGCCAGCAGCCGCGGUAAUACGUAGGUGGCAAGCGUUGUCCGGAAUUAUUGGGCGUAAAGCGCGCGCAGGUGGUUUAAUAAGUCUGAUGUGAAAGCCCACGGCUCAACCGUGGAGGGUCAUUGGAAACUGUUAAACUUGAGUGCAGGAGAGAAAAGUGGAAUUCCUAGUGUAGCGGUGAAAUGCGUAGAGAUUAGGAGGAACACCAGUGGCGAAGGCGGCUUUUUGGCCUGUAACUGACACUGAGGCGCGAAAGCGUGGGGGAGCNAACAGGAUUAGAUACCCUGGUAGUCCACGCCGUAAACGAUGAGUGCUAAGGUGUUGGUCUCAUAAGAGAUCAGUGCUGCAGCUAACGCAUUAAGGCACUCGGCCUGGGGAGUACGACCGCAAGGU
rnacentral:rRNA from 1 species